GCGCCGUGGGUGUGAUGGUCAGCACAGCUGGUGCCCAACCAGCAGGAGGCGGUUCGAUUCCGACCGCGGCGCUCCA
rnacentral:tRNA from 1 species